GUCAGAUUUUGUGCAUCUCACUUUAACUAUUCCAGAAGCAAGGAGUCUGACCUUGAGAAGACAAGAUGCAGAGAAGCCAGAGAAGGAGAUUGCGGUUGAUUCCAGGUACUGAGGAAAAGACCUUUCCAGAGAGCGAGAUACCUGCAUGAUCACCUCUUCAUUGCCAGUGGGAAUCCUCAGAAAAAUUGCAAAGCAGGUUCUUUUGGCUUUCUGGAUACCUCUGUAGUGAGGAGCCAGCUUCCUCCCUACCUCUUCUCACUUCUGCCGGUUCGUGAUCUUGCUGUUUUAAUGAGGGCACAGUAAUAACUAUGGAGAGGUGCUGACGACAUGACCAAGGAACUUGCCCUUAACAAGUCAGCUGUGGAUGAGGUGCCAAUGGGAUGGACAAGAGGAUUAAAGUAUUUAUGCCAAAAUAUUGGAAGCACACACAGAAUUAGUUCUUCCCGUGUUAGAUAUUUCACUUUUGGCAAGUCUGUAUUUAAAAAUCUUUUCUCCUUGUUUUGCUUAAAGUAUUACAAUAAGCCCUGGAUUUUUCACAGUUACACUCGUAUAUUUUCACAGCUGUUUUAAU